CAAAAACAUUGCCUCUCGUAAUAUAUGAAAGGUAAUUCCUGCCCGGUGACUCAACAAGUUCAACGGCCGCGGUAUCCUAACCGUGCAAAGGUAGCAUAAUCACUUGCCCAUUAAUUGUGGGCUAGAAUGAAAGGACCAACGAAAUAAAUACUGUCUCUAUGAGUAAAAUAAAAAUUAAUCUCUAACUGAAGAACGUUAGAUAUAAUCGAAGGACAAGAAGACCCUAUAGAGCUUUAUUUAAUAAAAGAACUCUACACUUUUCUAUAAUUCGGUUGGGGCGACCAGGGAAAUAAUAAAUCAUCCCUCAUUAAUAGAUAAAUUAAUCUUUUAACUGACCCUUAAUAAAAGAUCACGAAAACAAGCUACCUUAGGGAUAACAGGCUAAUUCUAUUAAAGAGUCCUUAUCAAUAAUAGGGUUUGGCACCUCGAUGUUGGCUUAGGGAAUCUAUACGGCGCAAAAGUCAUAUAAAGAUGGUUUGUUCAACCAAUAAUACCCUACGUGAUCU
rnacentral:rRNA from 1 species